UACGUAGGGUGCGAGCGUUGUCCGGAAUUAUUGGGCGUAAAGAGCUCGUAGGCGGCUUGUCACGUCGGUUGUGAAAGCCCGGGGCUUAACCCCGGGUCUGCAGUCGAUACGGGCAGGCUAGAGUUCGGUAGGGGAGAUCGGAAUUCCUGGUGUAGCGGUGAAAUGCGCAGAUAUCAGGAGGAACACCGGUGGCGAAGGCGGAUCUCUGGGCCGAUACUGACGCUGAGGUGCGAAAGCGUGGGGAGCAAACAGG
rnacentral:rRNA from 1 species